GAUGAACGCUGGCGGCGUGCCUAACACAUGCAAGUCGAACGAGAAGCUAACUUCUGAUUCCUUCGGGGAGAUGAAGUUGGUAGAAAGUGGCGAACGGGUGAGUAACGCGUGGGUAAUCUACCCUGUUAGUGGGGGAUAACCCUCCGAAAGGAGGGCUAAUACCGCAUAAGGUCUUCACUUCUUAAGAAGUAAAGAUUAAAGAUGGCCUCUAUACUAUGCUAUCGCUUCAGGAUGAGCCCGCGUCCUAUUAGUUAGUUGGUGGGGUAAUGGCCUACCAAGACCACAAUGGGUAGCCGGUCUGAGAGGAUGUACGGCCACACUGGGACUGAGAUACGGCCCAGACUCCUACGGGAGGCAGCAGUGGGGAAUAUUGCGCAAUGGGGGAAACCCUGAUGGAGCGACGCCGCGUGGGUGAUGAAGGUCUUCGGAUUGUAAAACCCUUUCAGCAAGGACGAAUGUAUCGGGUGCUAAUACCACCAGGUAAGAGACGGUAC
rnacentral:rRNA from 1 species